UUUACCGGAGUACUAUGAAUAUUUAAAGAUUUAAAACUCAAAGAACUUGGCGGUGUUUUAGACCAUUCAGGGGAACCUGUCUCGUAAUCGACAAUCCACGUUGUACCUGACCUUUUUUUGUUUUCAGUUUGUAUACCGUUGUCGUCAGGUAACUUUUUAGAAAUUAGAAGUUAGCAGUAAAAAUAUUGAUGAUUUAGUACGUCAAAUCAAGGUGCAGCUAAUAAAAAGGGGAGGAUGGGUUACAAUUAUAUGAUUUAUAAUAACGGAUAAACAUACGAAUGUAUGUUAAAUUAUAAGGCGGACUUGAAAGUAAAUUGGAAUAUGUAAGUAAUUUGAAUGAGGCUCUGAAACGUGU
rnacentral:rRNA from 1 species